UUGAACUAAGAAUAUAAGGGUAGAGCUUUAUAUUCAAUAAUUAAUUAAAGAUGAGUAAAUAAAAAUUAUUUAUAAAUUAGGUUUUAUAGUGGCCAUAUUUUUAAAGUAUUUUAACUAUUAAAAUAAAAAAUUUUUUAUUAUAUAUUCUCUUGAAAAAACUAGUAGAAUAAAUUUUAUAUUAAAAAUAGAUUAGAGAUAAUGAAAAUAUUAGUAGAAAUAUAAUUAUUAAAAUUUUAAAAUAAUNNAUUNANUNNANAAUUUUUAAUAAUAAAAAUAAAGGAAAUUAAAGGAAUUCGGCAAAUUUUUUUCUUGCCUGUUUAACAAAAACAU
rnacentral:rRNA from 1 species